rnacentral:rRNA from 1 species
AACGUAGGUGGCGAGCGUUAUCCGGAUUUACUGGGCGUAAAGGGUGUGCAGGCGGGCUGUUAAGUGGUGCAUGAAAUCUCCGCGCUUAACGUGGAGAGGCUGUGCCAGACUGGCAGUCUAGAGUACGAGAGAGGGUUGUGGAAUUCCGGGUGUAGUGGUGAAAUGCGUAGAGAUCCGGAGGAACACCAGUGGCGAAGGCGACUACCUGGCCUGUUCUUGACGCUGAGGCGCGAAAGCUAGGGGAGCAAACGGG